CCUACGGGAGGCAGCAGUGAGGAAUAUUGGUCAAUGGACGAGAGUCUGAACCAGCCAAGUAGCGUGAAGGAUGACUGCCCUAUGGGUUGUAAACUUCUUUUAUAAAGGAAUAAAACGAGGCACGUGUGCCUGUUUGCAUGUACUUUAUGAAUAAGGAUCGGCUAACUCCGUGCCAGCAGCCGCGGUAAUACGGAGGAUCCGAGCGUUAUCCGGAUUUAUUGGGUUUAAAGGGAGCGUAGAUGGGUUGUUAAGUCAGUUGUGAAAGUUUGCGGCUCAACCGUCAAAUUGCAAUUGAUACUGGCAGUCUUGAGUACAGUUGAGGUAGGCGGAAUUCGUGGUGUAGCGGUGAAAUGCUUAGAUAUCACGAAGAACCCCGAUUGCGAAGGCAGCUUACUAAACUGUGACUGACAUUGAUGCUCGAAAGUGUGGGUAUCAAACAGGAUUAGAUACCCCUGUAGUC
rnacentral:rRNA from 1 species